rnacentral:rRNA from 1 species
GACGAACGCUGGCGGCGUGCUUAACACAUGCAAGUCGAACGGUAAGGCCCUUCGGGGUACACGAGUGGCGAACGGGUGAGUAACACGUGGGUGAUCUGCCCUGCACUUCGGGAUAAGCCUGGGAAACUGGGUCUAAUACCGGAUAGGACCCUGGGAUGCAUGUCCUGGGGUGGAAAGCUUUUGCGGUGUGGGAUGGGCCCGCGGCCUAUCAGCUUGUUGGUGGGGUGAUGGCCUACCAAGGCGACGACGGGUAGCCGGCCUGAGAGGGUGACCGGCCACACUGGGACUGUGAUACGGCCCAGACUCCUACGGGAGGCAGCAGUGGGGAAUAUUGCACAAUGGGCGCAAGCCUGAUGCAGCGACGCCGCGUGAGGGAUGACGGCCUUCGGGUUGUAAACCUCUUUCAGCACCGACGAAGCGCAAGUGACGGUAGGUGCAGAAGAAGGACCGGCCAACUACGUGUCAGCAGCCGCCGUAA